GGCGCUAUAGUGUAGUGGUUAUCACUCAGGAUUUUGAUUUGUAUCAUCUUCCUGGAACCCAGGUUCGAACCCUGGUAGCGCCU